rnacentral:rRNA from 1 species
UACGAACUGUGCAAACGUUAUUCGGAAUCACUGGGCUUAAAGGGUGCGUAGGCGGCUUGUUAAGUAGGGUGCGAAAUCCCAAGGCUCAACCUUGGAAUUGCGCCCUAAACUGGCGAGCUGGAGUGAGAUAGGGGUGUGUGGAACUUCCAGUGGAGCGGUGAAAUGUGUUGAUAUUGGAAGGAACGCCAGUGGCGAAAGCGACACACUGGGUCUCAACUGACGCUGAGGCACGAAAGCCAGGGGAGCAAACGGG